UACAGAGGGUGCGAGCGUUGUUCGGAAUUAUUGGGCGUAAAGGGCGCGUAGGCGGUGCGGUAAGUCACCUGUGAAAUCUCCUGGCUCAACUGGGAGCUUGCAGGCGAAACUGCCGUGCUGGAGUGUGGGAGAGGUGCGUGGAAUUCCUGGUGUAGCGGUGAAAUGCGCAGAUAUCAGGAGGAACACCAAUGGCGAAGGCAGCACUCUGGGACGUGACUGACGCUGAGACGCGAAAGCGUGGGGAGCAAACAGG
rnacentral:rRNA from 1 species